CUCACCAAAACUUUUUAUCUUUUUACAGAAACAAGAUGAUGGACAAAAUGUGUCAUCUGCUUUACUGAAGAACGUGGAGAAGAAGUCUUUCUGUAGCCGGCCUGUGAAGAUUCCUUGCUUUUGUCUGAUUAUCUGCUCCGUGGUGGUCGCCUCUUUGCUGUCCGGCUUGUUUUAUGUGUGUUUGGUCGACUUCCGGGGACCCCCAUGUGAAGAGUCCUGGAUUUGGGUUGGAGGUCGCUGUUACUACUUCUCAGAUGAUUCUAAGUCCUGGAAUGACAGCCUGGAGUUCUGCACUACACAUGGCUCCACACUGGCCGUGCAUAGAGAUCAGGAGAUAAAGAAAACCAUAGAAAGAUACCGGGAAAAUGUUAAUUACUGGAUUGGGCUCAGCAUAAACCAGGACGGGCGGUGGAUGUGGACUGACGGUUCUCUGCAUGAUGGCAGUGUGGAUAAUGAGAACAUCAGCCUCCUGAGAUGCGCUUACCUGAACUCCCACCUGGGGGCGCUAGACUGCUCUACAAGACGUCAAUGGAUUUGUGUGCAGAACUCCGCCAGGUAGCAGCCGAUUCCAUAUUGGAAGCCCAGAACCUGGGAGAAGAUGGAGACAUCACCAUGAGAUUCCCGGGGUCUUAUUCUGGAGGCACUGGGCUACUUGAAGGGGGUUUUCUGAUCAUCUCAUUGACAUAUCAUAAGACUGUGCUGGAGAAAGCACUAAUGGUGCUGAUGGGGGUGAUAGUGGUGCUGAUGGGGGUGAUAGUGGUGCUGAUGUUACAUAGUUAAUACAGUUGAAAAAAGACAUAAGUCCAUCAAGUUCAACCAAGGGCUAGGGGGGGACGCGAAUCCCUGAAGGA